GACGAACGCUGGCGGCGUGCUUAACACAUGCAAGUCGAACGGAAAGGCCCAGCUUGCUGGGUGCUCGAGUGGCGAACGGGUGAGUAACACGUGGGUGAUCUGCCCCUAACUUCGGGAUAAGCUUGGGAAACUGGGUCUAAUACCGGAUAGGACAAUCGUUUAGUGUCGGUUGUGGAAAGUUUUUUCGGUUAGGGAUGAGCCCGCGGCCUAUCAGCUUGUUGGUGGGGUAAUGGCCUACCAAGGCGUCGACGGGUAGCCGGCCUGAGAGGGUGGACGGCCACAUUGGGACUGAGAUACGACCCAGACUCCUACGGGAGGCAGCAGUGGGGAAUAUUGCACAAUGGGCGCAAGCCUGAUGCAGCGACGCCGCGUGGGGGAUGACGGCCUUCGGGUUGUAAACCUCUUUCGACAGGGACGAAGCUUUGGUGACGGUACCUGUAUAAGAAGCACAGGCUAACUACGUG
rnacentral:rRNA from 1 species